UUUGGAGAAUGAGAAGUCCAAUCAGUUUCAUUCUGAGCUAGAAGGUAGAUCAAAAGCCUCGCUGGGCAGCUUCAGAAAGCUCUUAAAGAUCAUCAAGAUGCAAAGGAGUAUCAUGCAAAAGAUCAACUAAUCCAGGCAGUCAAGAGCAUCGGAUCUUCAUUCCGAGUGGGAGGACCUCUGCCUUGAGCAAUCAAUCAACCAGACAGAUCAACCAAUUCAGAGAGAGUCGGGAGUUCACAAGAAGUUUAUACAGCCCAUCAUACAACCAUCAAAACCGAGCCCUCAUCACCGAUGCCUCAUCACUGAUGCCCCACCACCGAUGUCCCAGUUGUAUGUUUAUAGUUGUAGAUUAUAGGUUUAGAUUGUAGAUUAUUUAUCUUGUGGUGAAUUGGUCACACUUUCCCUUGUGUGUAGAUUUGCUCACACUAUCCCUUGUGUGUAGAUUGCUGACACUUUUCCUUGUGUGUAGAUUUGCUCACACUUUCCCUUGUGUGUAGAUUGCUCACACUUUCCCCUGUGUGUAGAUUUGCUCACACUUUCCCUUGUGUGUAGAUUGCUCACACUUUCCCUUGUGUGUAGAUUUGCUCACACUUUCCCUUGUGUGUAGAUUUUCUCACACUCUCCCCUGUGUUGUGAAUUUCUCGCACUUCCUUUGUGUAGUGAUUUUCUAGCGCUUCCAACUUGUGUUGUGAAUUAUCAAGUUUAUAAACUGAAACGUUGUCUAAGGCUUAGUUGGAAGAAAACUUCUGUAUUCAAUUUAGAUGUGCUGAUGUAUGGAGUUGACAAACUUGGUUGCCAUAUAGUGGAGCCGGAUGGGAAUUUUUCCCCAGAGGGUAUUAGAUAGGCGGGGUUUUGCCCAUCUCAUACAUCAGCAACAGGCAUGCAACAUCUGAUUUUUAUGGUUUUGGUUUCCUCAGCCAUUGAAAAGUUUAAAAAACACAGCACGAAAUCUUGCUGUGCCUGGAUUUCUGGAAAGGUCAAAUCUUUUAUCAAAAUACAGAGUUGCAAGACUGAAACAGGAGACACUUUGUGUCUAAAUUCUUAGGAGUCAAACAAAAUUUGACAUAGUAUUUCCCGUUUAUUUAUAAUAGUUGAAUAUUUGUGUAGAUUAGUCAACGUUUCAGGGUGUGCCAGGGUGUGUCACACUUCCUUUGUGUGGCAAGAUGCAAACACUUUCCCUUGUGUUUACUCUAAGUAGCUCACACUUCACAUUCUCCCUCAAGUUACUGAGUUGGUCCUACUUCCGUUGUAGCAAGUAUCUGACACUCUCCCUUGUGCUAUUCUGUGAUUUACUCACACUUCCUUUGUGUAGCGAGUAUCUGUCACUUUUCGUUGUGUUACUCUGAGUUGCUCACACUUCCUUUGUGUAGUGAGUAUCUGACACUUUUCGUUGUGUUACUCUGAGUUGCUCACACUUCCUUUCUGUAGUGAGUAACUGACACUCUCCCUUGUGUC